GACAGAGGUGCCAAGCGUUAGGCGGAAUCACUGGGCUUAAAGCGUGUGUAGGCGGGCGAUCAAGUCCCUUGUGAAAUCCCACGGCUCAACCGUGGAACUGCUGGGUAUACUGCGUCGCUUGAGCCGUCUAGGGGCGACCGGAACAAACGGUGGAGCGGUGAAAUGCGUAGAUAUCAGGAGGAACACCUGUGGCGAAAGCGGCUCACUGGACCAUAACUGACGCUGAUGCACGAAAGCUAGGGGAGCAAACAGG
rnacentral:rRNA from 1 species